rnacentral:misc_RNA from 1 species
GAAAUGCGAUAAGUAAUGUGAAUUGCAGAAUUCAGUGAAUCAUCGAAUCUUUGAACGCACCUUGCGCUCCUUGGUAUUCCUUGGAGCAUGCCUGUUUGAGUAUCAUGAAAUCUUCAAAGUAAAUCUUUUGUUAACUCAAUUGGUUUCUACUUUGGUAUUGGAGGUCUUUGCAGCUUCACACCUGCUCCUCUUUGUUCAUUAGCUGGAUCUCAGUGUUAUGCUUGGUUCCACUCGGCGUGAUAAGUUAUCUAUCGCUGAGGACACUGUAAAAGGUGGCCAAGGUAAAUGCAGAUGAAUUGCUUCUAAUAGUCCAUUGACUUGGACAAUACUUUUAUGAUCUGAUCUCAAAUCAGGUAGGACUACCCGCUGAACUUAAGC